AGGACGAACGCUGGCGGCGUGCUUAACACAUGCAAGUCGAACGGAAAGGCCCUGCUUUUGUGGGGUGCUCGAGUGGCGAACGGGUGAGUAACACGUGAGUAACCUGCCCUUGACUUUGGGAUAACUUCAGGAAACUGGGGGCUAAUACCGGAUAGGAGCUCCUGCUGCAUGGUGGGGUUGGAAGUUUCGGCGGUUGGGGAUGGACUCGCGGCUUAUCAGCUUGUUGGUGGGGUAGUGGCUUACCAA
rnacentral:rRNA from 1 species